ensembl:lncRNA CYP1B1-AS1 CYP1B1 antisense RNA 1
UCUUGAUUUCCUGGCAGUGAUACCUUCCCAUUCCAUUACAUAAGGUAUAAGUGGCAGAAGAUCAGGGAGAACCACAGGGCUGUAAGAUAUUUUAUAAGUUGUUAAAUAAGGGGACACUGCUUUAUUUGGGGCAUGUCACUCAAUCUCUUCAACAUUGUGUUAGGUAGGUAUCAUGAACUAAAUUGUGGCCACCCAAAACUCAUACCUCGAACCCCGGGUACCUCAGAACAUAAUUGUAUUUGGAUAUGGAGUCUUUAAAGAGGUAAUUAAGUUAAAAUGAGGUUGUUAGAGAGGGCUGUAAUCUAAUAUGACUGGUAUCCUUAUAAGAAGAUUGAAAACACAGAUGUGCACAGAGCAAAGACCACGUGAAGACACAAAGAAAACAGCCAUCUGCAACUCAAGAAGAGAGUCCCAGAGCACAUUGUGAUCUCUGACUUCUGGCCUCCAGAAUUAUGUUGAAAAUCUUCGGAAAAGCCCUGAAAGAUGAACAGUGGUCUCAAAUAGUCAAGACCCCCUGCUGGGAGGAGCUUCUAUCCUGCUCUGUGGAAGAAAUGGGCAUGCCAGAUGCCUG